rnacentral:tRNA from 1 species
GCUUUUUUAGUAUAAGGAGUAUGUUUACCUUCCAAGUAAGAGGUUUAGAGAUUAAAAAAAGUA